rnacentral:lncRNA from 1 species
CAUGGCUGUACCCAAACACCCCUGACAUGGAGGGGAGGAAGCUGCUGCUGCCAGCACAUGACUCACUGUUAGUGCAGCUCUGCCCAAGGAGGGGACUCCCACUGCUCCCCUCCUGGCUCCUGAGCAAUUCUGGAGCCCAAACAGAGCUCCCUGACCACGUUUUCUGGAUUUCUCUUCUCCCAGCGAAGAUGGAUAAGUGUUCCUUUGCUCUGCUGACUCCCAGCUUCCUUAACAGCUGCACUCCACUUUUGAGGCCUCUUAAAUUCUCGCUGCUCUCUGUGACAGGACUGGGCUGCUCUGGACCAUUUCAGGAUUAAGGACUUUCCAUCUAGUAUCAAAAAGUUAUUUUUUUCUAAGGAAAAGCCGUAAAUCUUUAUUAAAUCCCAUAUAUUUUCAC